rnacentral:tRNA from 1 species
GGGAAAAUAUUCUAUAAAAGAUAUUGAUUUUGUAAAUCAAAGAAAACUUCUCCA